CCCUUAGAUGUUCUGGGCCGCACGCGCGCUACACUGAUGCAUUCAACGAGUCUAAAACCUGGUCUGAUAGGGCUGGGUAAUCUUUUGAAUGUGCAUCGUGAUUGGGAUAGAUGAUUGCAAUUCUUCAUCUUCAACGAGGAAUGCCUAGUAAACGCAAGUCGUCAGCUUGCAUUGAUUACGUCCCUGCCCUUUGUACACACCGCCCGUCGCUCCUACCGAUUGAAUGUUCCGAUGAAUACCAUGGACUGAGAGUAUGAAUGGGUUCGCCUAUUUCUGCUUCUCGGGAAGUGGAGUAAAUCUUAACAUUUAGAGGAAGGAGAAGUCGUAACA
rnacentral:rRNA from 1 species